rnacentral:lncRNA from 1 species
GAAGAUGAGGUGUUAAUACUAGAGAAGAUCCAAGGAAGCAAGAAUCCAGUGGAUAUGUCGACAAAGACGGUGGCUAUCGACAAACUGAAGUUGUGUUCAACUUUAGUUGGCCUGCAAAAGUAACAAGAUUGGAAAGAUCUGCUGCAUAGAUCGAGGCGUGAAGACAGAUUGAAAUCAGUCUUCAAGUGGAGAUUGUCAAGGAAAUGGGCACCAACCAUUUUUUGGUUAAAAAUAAGGGGUGCCUAACUUAGGCAAUUAUCAAUGGAGGUGCAUAGCCAUUGUCUAAUUUCUUGCCUAAAUCCCA